rnacentral:rRNA from 1 species
UGCAAGUCGAGGGGCAGCAUAAAGUACUUGUACUUUGAUGGCGACCGGCGAACGGGUGCGUAACGCGUAUGCAACUUACCUUUUACUAGAGAAUAGCCAAGAGAAAUUUUGAUUAAUGCUCUAUACUCUUUUUAACUCACAUGAGUUUUUAAGAAAAGCUCCGGCGGUAAAAGAUGGGCAUGCGUCCUAUUAGCUUGUAGGUGAGGUAACGGCUCACCUAAGCUCCGAUAGGUAGGGGUCCUGAGAGGGAGAUCCCCCACACUGGUACUGAGACACGGACCAGACUUCUACGGAAGGCAGCAGUAAGGAAUAUUGGACAAUGGAGGAAACUCUGAUCCAGCGAUGCCGCGUGAAGGAAGACGGCCCUAUGGGUUGUAAACUUCUUUUAUACAGGAAGAAACCUUUCCACGUGUGGAAAGCUGACGGUACUGUAAGAAUAAGGAUCGGCUAACUCCGUGCCAGCAGCCGCGGUAAUACGGAGGAUCCAAGCGUUAUCCGGAAUUAUUGGGUUUAAAGGGUCCCGCAGGCUGUUUGUUAAGUCAGGGGUGAAAUCCUACCGCUCAACGGUAGAACUGCCUUUGAUACUGGCAACUUUGAGUUAUUGUGAAGUAGUUAGAAUGUGUAGUGUAGCGGCGAAAUGCAUAGAUAUUACACAGAAUACCAAUUGCGAAGGCAGAUUACUAACAAUUAACUGACGCUGAGGGACGAAAGCGUGGGUAGCGAACAGGAUUAGAUACCCUGGUAGUCCACGCCGUAAACGAUGGUCACUAGCUGUUCCGUGUACAUUGGUACAUUGAGUGG